UGGCAGGGUCCUAAAAGACGCGCACCCUAAUCUGCCUCGGCAAGCCAAAAUCGGAGCUCAGCACAUUUAUUUGUUUCAUGCAGAUGUUGGAUAUUGCAAAGAAAUAGGUUUUGUUCAUGUGGAGACCACAGGACAGGGAAACUGCAACACCUGCUCUUCAGAUGCACCAGAACGAACCUAAACCAACAGCUGGAUCUUUGGCCGACAAGACGCCUAAUGACUGAGUUGGGACAGCGGAAGGACGCUGGCUUGAUUAGGCCCUUAAUCUCCUGAGAUUGAGACAUUAAAGCAUGGGAGUGAUGUACUCACACGAAUUGGCACAGUGUCACACUGAACCAGGGGAAGACUCAUCUGCCACAGGAGUGCCAGAGCACACU